AUUCCACGGAUUCCGUGACGCAGCUAACGCAUUAAGUUCCCCGCCUGGGGAGUACGGCCGCAAGGCUAAAACUCAAAGGAAUUGACGGGGACCCGCACAAGCGGCGGAGCAUGCGGAUUAAUUCGAUGCAACGCGAAGAACCUUACCAAGGCUUGACAUAUACGAGAACGGGCCAGAAAUGGUCAACUCUUUGGACACUCGUAAACAGGUGGUGCAUGGUUGUCGUCAGCUCGUGUCGUGAGAUGUUGGGUUAAGUCCCGCAACGAGCGCAACCCUCGUUCUAUGUUGCCAGCACGUAAUGGUGGGAACUCAUGGGAUACUGCCGGGGUCAACUCGGAGGAAGGUGGGGAUGACGUCAAAUCAUCAUGCCCCUUAUGUCUUGGGCUUCACGCAUGCUACAAUGGCCGGUACAAAGGGCUGCAAUACCGUGAGGUGGAGCGAAUCCCAAAAAGCCGGUCCCAGUUCGGAUUGAGGUCUGCAACUCGACCUCAUGAAGUCGGAGUCGCUAGUAAUCGCAGAUCAGCAACGCUGCGGUGAAUACGUUCCCGGGUCUUGUACACACCGCCCGUCAAGUCAUGAAAGUCGGUAACACCUGAAGCCGGUGGCCUAAACC
rnacentral:rRNA from 1 species